AUGUUGCAGUUCAGACGGAAGCUGAGCGGAGAGAGAACUGGUGGAGAGUUUCUUACAGUUAUGGAUGGGGGUGACGAGUUUGAUUGCGAGUGUGGACUUUGCAGCCAUGUGUUGAAGGUGCUGGACUUCAUCCGCAUGAAUCAGAUACAUGUGAAGCAUAUACUGAAAAGGCGGACCAAAGAUGCCCGGGAUGUACUGGCUCACCAUCUGUGUCACUAUCAGAAAAAUCUGCAUAAUAAUCCUUUCUCAUACAGACACUUCAACCUGUACAUGCAAGCCAUGGAGCUCUUUUGGCUUGGAGACACAAGCAUGGAUGCAUACGAAAGGUUGAUGGUAUGGGUCUGGGAGACAUGA
rnacentral:rRNA from 1 species